GGAUGGAAUAUUGGGACAAUGGGUGAGAGCCUGAUCCAGCCAUCCCGCGUGAAGGAUGACGGCCCUAUGGGUUGUAAACUUCUUUUGUAUAGGGAUAAACCUAGAUACGUGUAUCUAGCUGAAGGUACUAUACGAAUAAGCACCGGCUAACUCCGUGCCAGCAGCCGCGGUAAUUGAAAG
rnacentral:rRNA from 1 species